AUGGCCACAUCAUAUUGAAACACUGUUCCCCAUAAUAUCACUGAAGUUAAGCAACCUUGAGCCUGGUUGGUCCCUAGAUGAGUGACCGCUUGGGAAUACAAGGUGCUGUAAG